AUCUCCUCUCCCUCAUUUGCGUCGAACACCCUUUCCUUCCUCUCCUCCCCAACCUGGCGCCGCCUCUCCCCCUCACGGCGUGGAGCGCUUCCUCUUCCCCGAGCUCCUUGACUUCCCCAACCCGACACCUCCCUUCCUCUUCUCCAAAUAGCGCCGACCCCUACCAUUUCUCCCGAUUUUCUUCCUCUCAUCCGCCACACUCCCCCUACACAUCGCUCAACACCGACACCACUGUCGCCACCCUCUCCGGCCACCGUCUUCCUCCUUUAAGUGGACACUCAAGGCUUACAAGAGCCCUAGUUCUCCCGAUCACUAGACGUCGACCCUCUCCUCCUCUAUCUCCACCGAUCGGCCACUCAUCCCGCGUGCCCUAGCUUCCAUCUCCGCCGCCACCGAUGGUUUGCCGCCAACCAUGGAGAUAGUAGUCGGUCCCACAUCUUCAUCCCCGGUUCCUCGCUGAGGCGUGCCCUAGCUUGGAUCCACUGCCCUCUUCCGAUCGCAUUACCCUCUAUGCAGUGCUAUCCUCGCCGUGCCAUCUAUCGCCAGUUUGUUCUUCACCUAUAUAUCAACAACCGCUUUCUAUUAGGUCUCCGGCAGAGAGAAAGCUGCCGGCACAAGCUUAGGUGGCUCCGUCCAUGGUUUUGCUGGCAGCAACUUCUCCUAGGACCAACCACUUUGUUCUAGCAGCAAGUUAUCUCCGGCUAUGGAUCACCGGCUAAGGCUUCAGAAUUGGGUUAUUCAACCUCCCUUCUAGCCGGCCUCUACGAUCCAACAAGUGGUAUCAGAGCCAAGUUGCUUCAAGAGGACUAACCGCCGAUCGAAGCGAAGAUGAUGGCUGGACAGAGCAUAUACCCGCCGAAGUUCGAAGGGGAUUCCACUACAUGGAAAAAGCGAAUGCAGGUUGAGACUGUCAGGAGGUUCCAGUCGCUAGUCCCCCACCUCGUGUAGAUAUGGUUUUCUACUUUCAAACUUUGUUUUCUUGUUUUAUGAUCUACAUGCGUGUGAUGUGUAGAUCUUGUACUCGUGGAUGUUAUAUCGAGUUUUGGUCUACUACCCUUGUUUUCCGCUGCGAUGGUUUUUCAUUGUGGGUUGUGUUUUCCUCGAGUAGUGGAGUAAGUUUUAUAAUAAACUGCGUGUUGUGAUUUGUUGUGUAGUCAACCGAAGGCUGAUUUAUUAUAAACUGCAUGGAUUGUUUGUUUA